CCAUCAACCAUCUGUGGCGUCUCGCGUAACGCGUUUCAGCGUUUGUCAUUUGUUAUUUUGCAGCCUGGAGACUGUGAGGAUGUGUGUCGUGUCGUGCUGAACUAUAAUCGCGGGCUGGUACACGGACCUCGGGCAAAUGGACUCGUCUGUGGUCCUGUCGGUCCGCGGUUCCUGGUUGCCCGGUUUUUCAUCGUUUCCGUUGAUCGUUAGCUCUGGCGCCAAUCCGUCGCGUAUGCAUUUMAAAAAUUGAAAUCGCUAUGCGUGGCCAACCAUCUCUAUGUUUCCAUUGUCAACGCCUCAACGGACUGAUGGGCACGCACGCACCUCCGGCGGUGCGAUCAUCGAAUCACUCAUCAGUGCACCACAAUAUUAGUCUGGCAGGCAGCGAGACGUCCAGCCACCGCUUCGCCGAAAAAUAACUUGAUUCCUUAACUCUCAAAAUAUCAACUUAUCGCACAAUAACAGUAGUUAGGAUAGAAGAAGAAAACACGCUAAAACCGUUGACUAUUCAGAAUGGAAUUUUACAUAUUUAAGAGACACUUGUCCAAGCACUAGUAAGUUUGCCUUGUCAAUGACUGCUAAAAUGACUACUACAGAACACAUCAUACCCUUCUUCCUCGUGAUCUURUCUACACAACCUUAUGGUCUUAUAGUAAGCAAAAACAUCAGAAUGAAUUUUCUUAGGAAAAAAUCCCUGGUAAAACUUAUUGUACAUUGCCAAAGUAAGUAUAAAGGAAACAAGUAUCAUCAAUGUAAAAAUCAAUCCAUCCGUUACAUUGUAUAAAUUAUUAAUGAAAUGUAUAAUUUACGAUUAUCAUAAAAUAAGUAAUAAUAUUGA